rnacentral:rRNA from 1 species
GACGAGGGAUCCUAGCGUUGUUCGGAAUUAUUGGGCGUAAAGCGGGUGUAGGUGGCUUUGUAAGUCAGGUGUGAAAGCCCAGGGCUCAACCCUGGAAGUGCAUUUGAUACUGCGAAGCUUGAGUGUAGGAGAGGUUACUAGAAUUCUUGGUGUAGUGGUGAAAUACGUAGAUAUCUGGAAGAACACCAGUGGCGUAAGCGGCUUGCUGGGCUAUAACUGACACUGAGGAACGAAAGCCAGGGUAGCGAAUGGGAUUAGAUACCCUGGUAGU